CACUCCCCUAUGGAACACCCAUUAACCUUGCCUACAAAAGACUAAUAUAUAAACCCAAAGGCAACUUACGUCUUUAAGAAAUUUAACUGCCGGGGAAUCGUACUGUAUCUCAUUGAUUUGGAAAGAACUCAUCCUCAGGAUAGUGUCAAUGGUCUGGAUUGGAAGGAAGACAUGAAUGAGAACAUAGCAUGUGACUGUCACUCAGAAUUUCCUCCAGCCCUACCCGUGGCAGGUUACACCCACAGGAACCAAAAUACUUCUCUCUCUGAAGCUUCCAUGUGACCCCCAGACUACGACAUAGCAGCAACAUUGGCACUAGUGGUGGCCAGGUGGUGGCAGCUCUGUGCACAUUAUCUCCAUGGAGGGUGACAGCUUCAAAGCCCUAUAUAUCAAGGGCAUUGAGAACCUGGAAGAGGAGGAGACCAGGAGAGACCUGUAGUCAACGGAGCAGUGAGUAGCUGGAGGCACCAUGACACCAGUCAAUCCUAAAGGAUAAAGCAAAUCCCAGGGCAUGGCUUUUGAUUCCAAGCCAAGCAAUUCAAGGUCAGCUACAAAGGCAUUCUAAUCGAGGCCAACAUGUGUCUGAUUACCAUA